AUUGAACGCUGGCGGCAGGCCUAACACAUGCAAGUCGAGCGGAUCGGCGGACGGGUGAGUAAUGCCUAGGAAUCUGCCUGUUCGUGGGGGAUAACGUUCGGAAACGGGCGCUAAUACCGCUUACUAUCAGAUUAGCCUAUGUCGGAUUGGCUAGUUGGUGGGGUAAAGGCCUACAAAGGCGACGAGCCGUAACUGGGCUGAGAGGAUGAUCAGCCACACUGGAACUGAGACACGGUCCAGACUCCUACGGGAGGCAGCAGUGGGGAAUAUUGGACAAUGGGCGAAAGCCUGAUCCAGCCAUGCCGCGUGUGUGAAGAAGGUCUUCGGAUUGUAAAGCACUUUAAGUUGGGAGGCGUUACCAACAGAAUAAGCACCGGCUAACUUCGUGCCAGCAGCCGCGGUAAUAC
rnacentral:rRNA from 1 species